UACGGAGGGUGCGAGCGUUAUCCGGAAUUAUUGGGCGUAAAGAGCUCGUAGGCGGUUUGUCGCGUCUGCCGUGAAAGUCCGGGGCUCAACUCCGGAUCUGCGGUGGGUACGGGCAGACUAGAGUGAUGUAGGGGAGACUGGAAUUCCUGGUGUAGCGGUGGAAUGCGCAGAUAUCAGGAGGAACACCGAUGGCGAAGGCAGAUCUCUGGGCCGUAACUGACGCUGAGGAGCGAAAGCAUGGGGAGCGAACAGG
rnacentral:rRNA from 1 species